CGGGUGAGUAACGCGUGAGGAACCUGCCUCAAAGAGGGGGACAACAGUUGGAAACGACUGCUAAUACCGCAUAAGCCCACGGCUCGGCAUCGAGCAGAGGGAAAAGGAGCAAUCCGCUUUGAGAUGGCCUCGCGUCCGAUUAGCUAGUUGGUGAGGUAACGGCCCACCAAGGCGACGAUCAGUAGCCGGACUGAGAGGUUGAACGGCCACAUUGGGACUGAGACACGGCCCAG
rnacentral:rRNA from 1 species